GAUCUUUUGGGAGCCUGUAGAAGCCGUCUUUUCUAGCUAUCCGCCAUGGCGGGUGGGUGAAAGACCCGAGCUAACAUGGGGUUAGUUCGUUAAAUUACGAUAAAGCCUCGUGCAGUUUGCAGCAAGCUCUCGAAUCCGCCUGGUGAUUUGGGUGACCGCGAACGUGGCCUGGGACCCCGGAUACUUGAGGUUUUUGGGGGUCUAACAAUACGAGACUAAUGCUAGCUCUUGGGAAAUCGAAGCAGUCCUGGAUUGUUAGAUGGCGAGAUGCAUAGCUUCACCAGUAGAGGGCAGCAGAGAGACUGUGAAGCACAUUAGAGAACCUGGAGGGGGUCCCCCCACCUUGGUGGUUGCUGCAGAGUUUGAAAUGUACACUUACAACCAUCUCCAACUCCAAAACUACCUGGACCACUUCUGCUCCUCCUCUCGUCUUCCUUUUACAUUCCCGCUGAAAGACAAACAGCACGAGGCUUUAUUGCAGUUGUUUAACGAGCUAACCCUAUGUUAGCUCGGGUCUUUCAUCCAUCCACCAUGGCAGAUGGCUGGGAAGGACACC
rnacentral:lncRNA from 1 species